rnacentral:rRNA from 1 species
UAGUCCACGCCGUAAACGAUGUCUACUAGCCGUUGGGAUCCUUGAGAUCUUAGUGGCGCAGCUAACGCACUAAGUAGACCGCCUGGGGAGUACGGUCGCAAGAUUAAAACUCAAAUGAAUUGACGGGGGCCCGCACAAGCGGUGGAGCACGUGGUUUAAUUCGAAGCAACGCGAAGAACCUUACCUACUCUUGACAUCUAGAGAACUUGGCAGAGAUGCCUUGGUGCCUUCGGGAACUCUAAGACAGGUGCUGCAUGGCUGUCGUCAGCUCGUGUUGUGAAAUGUUGGGUUAAGUCCCGUAACGAGCGCAACCCUUGUCCUUAGUUGCCAUCAUUUAGUUGGGGACUCUAAGGAGACUGCCGGUGACAAACCGGAGGAAGGCGGGGACGACGUCAAGUCAUCAUGGCCCUUACGAGUAGGGGCUACACACGUGCUACAAUGGCCAGUACAAACGGGUUGCCAAGUCGCGAGAC